rnacentral:lncRNA from 1 species
UCAGGACAGCUGCCUCAUCCCUUCCUACUGUGAAGUCUGUGUCUGCUGGUUAGAGCUCUCAAACCAUAGAAGGCUUAGUGUAUGUCCCAGCAAGUGUCACCUAAAAGGACCUUCUUGUUUUACCCUCUUCUGAGAAAAGGAUGCUGAAAUGAGACCUUUUAUGUCAGAGACUACUCGGCCUUCACUCUAAAAUGACAAAGUGGCCCUUCAGUUACCCUCACAGUUACCCCACACCUGUCUGGGAUGGCCAGGUAGGCAGAGACAAGCAGAGACUCAGGGCGAGGGCACUAGGGCGUGUGGGCAGGAAUCACAAUGAAAUUUUGUACAAUUUUUUACAAUCACAUUUUACACUUUCAUAAUGGCUAAUUAUUACAAAGCAGAAAAAGGAUAGAUAUUGGCAAGCAUACAGAGAUUUUUCAGAAAACUAAAUAGAAUUUCCAUUUGAUCCAGCAC